GGAAAAACCACUUUAGUCCAUUAAUCUACACAGAAAAACAUCACUUUUAAGCGAACUGCUUUAUUUGGUCCCAGAAAAGCAGAGUUUUCACCCUUGUUCUCCUGAUUUGUAGCUCAAAUACCUUCAUGGCAAUGUUAAACUACAGGAGCAGCCAGUUAAAGAUAACUUCAGGAGAAUUGAAGAAAACCAACCGUUUAAAGAGUUAAAACUCAUUUAAACCUUCAGUAAAGUUCAAGUCAGACAAACUCAGAUUCAUGGUUUACUUUGGUCACAAUUCCAGUUUACUAGAUCAGCUGAGAACAGAACUCCAACCAAGGAAGGAGAGGUCUAGGGUUUAAUGGUCAGAACAAAUUCAGUAGAACUACUCAUCUACACAAGACGCUUUAGAGUCACUUUACUGUCAGGUUCUUCACUAUAGCUGCAUUUGGUCCCAGACACGGUGUCAUUUGUUCCAGGUCAUCCUCCAUUUUCUUACCUCUGAGCUGAUAAGAUGCAGGAGAAACACCUGAGAGACUUUAAACUACAGCAGCCAGAAUUAUUGGAACGGCUGCUUGAUAGUUUAAGAAAACCAGCUGUUUAAAGUCAAACUAAACCAGUUUAAAUCAAUGGCGUUAAAGUCAAGCACAGAUACUCAGAUUCAUGUUUACUUAAGGUUUAUUAAAGGUUACGUCGUAGUUUCUUGGAGGUUCUGCUGAUCAGUUCCACCUGCAGAAACAAAGAAACACAGCAGUUAGUCCCUGAACCAGCAGCUUCUUCUACACUCCAUGUUCCAGCUGCUUCUUACCUCCUUAGACCUUGGUUCCGGUUCCAGGUCCAGGUCCUUGGCUGGGAUCUCCUGGGUUCACCGGAGAGAAAAACGGGCCAAAGUCAUCUGGGGAGUAUUUAGAGUGGGAGAGGAGUUCUCUGGCUCGCUGGUAGCCGUUACUAGACUGGACGAUGUAGGACGUAGGACCACGAACAACCAAUGGGAAGGGGUCGGUGGGAAUGUUAUCAGGGAUCCAGACUGAGGGGUCUGGGAGACGGACAAACCUUGGUCUCAAGUCAUUUAUAUCGUAGGAGAACCCCUGUGGGUAGUUAAUCAAAGGAGUAAAUCCUGCAGAUCCAAAGGGCAAAGAACUGCUGAAGAAACCAGAGCCUCCUGAACCACCAGAUCCUCCAGAACCACCAGAUCCCCCAGAACCACCAGCACCAGCUCCUCCACCAGCUCCUCCAGUUCCUCCACCAGCUCCUCCAGAACCUGUUUGACCUGAAUCCAGACACAAACCAACAUGUUCACGGCUCUGAUCCACUCAUGUGGACACCAGCAGCUAAAUAAAUCCACAUCCAGCUGCUGGAGCUGCCUUCAGACACGUUGGGCUUCAUUUAAAGCUGCUUCAGGUCAACAUGUCUGCAGACUCACCUUUAAUUAGAAAAGGGUAACAAGCUCCAGAGCUGAGGAGCAGGAAGCAGAUCCAGAAGACCCUGUGGAGAGCAGAAAGCAGCCUGUAAAUAGCAGCACAUGGAAGCCCACCUGCAGCAUGAAGCGCAGCAGCUCACCUGAGAACAGAUUCCAGCAGCAUGUCCAGCUGUGAGAAGAAGCCGAGGCCACAGAGUUCAGCUCCAGCAGCCUCCUCACUGCUGAUCAACCUGCUGGAGCUGAACUCUGUGGCCUCGGCUUCUUCUCACAGCUGGACAUGCUGCUGGAAUCUGUUCUCAGGGUCUCCUGGAUCUGCUUCCUGCUCCUCAGCUCUGGAGCUUGUUACCCUUUUCUAAGUAAAGGUCAAACAGGUUCUGGAGGAGCUGGUGGAGGAACUGGAGGAGGAGCUGGCUCUGGUGGUUCUGGGGGAUUUGGUGGUUCUGGAGGCUCUGGGGGAUCUGGUGGUUCAGGAGGCUCUGGUUUCUUCAGCAGUUCUUUGCCCUUUGGAUCUGCAGGAUUUACUCCUUUGAUUAACUACCCACAGGGGUUCUCCUACGAUAUAAAUGACUUGAGACCAAGGUUUGUCCGUCUCCCAGACCCCUCAGUCUGGAUCCCUGAUAACAUUCCCACAGACCCCUUCCCAUUGGUUGUUCGUGGUCCUACGUCCUACAUCGUCCAGUCCAGUAACGGCUACCAGCGAGCCAGAGAACUCCUCUCCCACUCUAAAUACUCCCCAGAUGACUUUGGCCCGUUUUUCUCUCCAGUGAACCCAGGAGAUCCCAGCCAAGGACCUGGAACAGGAACUGGAACCAAGGUCUAAGGAGGUGGAACUGAUCAGCAGAACCUCCAAGAAACUACGAAGUAACCUCUAAUAAACCUAAAGUAAACCAUGAAUUUGAGUUUGUGUCCUUAAACUCCAUUGAUGAUUUAAACUGGUUUAGUCUGACUUUAAACAGCUGGUUUUCUUUAAAGGAUCUUGAAGCAAUGUUUCAAUAAAUCUGGCUGCUGUAGUUUAAAACUUGCUGGAGCAUCUCAGGUGUUUCUCCUGCAUCUUGGCUCAGAGGGAUAAUUGAGGCUGAUCUGGAACUUGUUUAGGACCAAAUGUAGCAUAAUUAAAGCAACUGAGGGUAAAGUGACUAAAGCAUGUUGUGUAGACCGGUGUUCCCACUGAUGCUGACCAUUAAAUACUAGAAUCCACCUCCCUUGAUUAGGGUACUAUCAGCUAAAUUUAAUAAAUCUGAAUUUUGUCCCUCGCCUAAAGUUUAGUUUGGCUUCAAGAGAACAAUCGCUUGAUCUUGGAAAAUGGUUUGUCCCCACCUCCCCCACCUGACACCAGGUAGUGGCAGAUUCUCUUCCACCAAGUGUGCUGCAAAUGGCUAUUGGAUGAAUUGUCACAUGACCAGGUGGGAGUAAU
ensembl:lncRNA